GUGUGUGUGUGUGUGUGUGUGUGUGUGUGUGUGUGUGUGGGGUGAUGAUGGCAAGACCCCAGCCCAAGAGGUCUUUGCCUUUGGAUAUUAGAAUUUCCCUGGCGAGCUGCAAGGAAGAGUGGAAGAGAUUUGGGUGCUUCCCGAGAGGAGGGAAGGAAACCUGUAGCUUGGAGCAAGAGUUUCCAAACUAUCUGGACUAUCACUGGCAUUUUUAUUUUGCCUGUGGCCUUGGAGGCGCCCCUCGCCUCUUGAGGCUGCAGUUGGCAUGAUGAUCAUUUCUGUGGUAGGACAACUGUAUUUAGCAAGGGGAGAGUAUGGGGGAUGCACAAGUCCCUUGAAUACUCAUUCCAAGGUAUCCUGGUCCUGUCUCCCAAAUGCACUUCUCAGGCUUCCCGGAGCCUAGAACAGAAUAAAAAUAAUAACUAGGGACCCCAGCUUUUGGGCUACUUCACAAAUGGCACUAGCUGCUUUGGAGAGAUCGGUGAACCUACAUGUGACCUCAAAAGCAAGUAUGAGGGUCUUCUCGGGACUGUAUACUCGAGUCCUUGGUUCUGGCAUUUUCUGGGGGCAUGUUUAAUAGAAAUCAAACUCCGCCAACUUUCGGUGAGGUGGUGGGUGGUGAGUGGAAAGAUGGUGUUUAAAGCCAGACAUCGAGAUUCCAACCUCAGACAAAGAAAAUACGUCUAAAUCUGCCCAUCUUCAUCCAAGAGAAAGAACCUAUUCAUCUAUUUCUCUCAUCCCACGAAUCUUUCCAAACAUGCCUCGCAUCUUGUCUGACAUAAAAUUUCUUCACAUUGCUUAUUUACCAGUGUGGACCUUUGGAGUGGUUACUUAUCAGAAAAGGUGCUCUACUUUGGUGCUUGUGUGCAAGGAAGGCAGUAUCAUGUGCUCAAACAUAUCUCUAGAAUUACAUAUUAGGAGCCCACAUGACUUAACAUCAGCACACUUCUGUGUUUGGUUUUAAAGGCUUUCAUCUUAGAAUGGGUAUAAAGGUAUUUCAGGCUAUCUACAGGACCCUUCCUGAAUUAUUUCUGCCUUUAGAGUCUCAGUUGGAAAACAUCUUUGAAAAAUAUUGUCUUCCAAAUGCUGCAACCAACUUAUUGUCGAUUCUGGUGGCCAGAGGGGAAAAGAGAGGACAACAAACACCCCCAAACUCCAUCCAUGGCUGCCAAAUGGUUUGACAUUCAGAGUAAAGCAGGUGCGAUUUUCAGGACUGAAACCAUUACUAGUCCAGCUAGUGCCACCUUUGUGCAUUGUGCAAGGUUAGGAAAUGAUUGUCAAAGGAACUUGUAUUUAAGAGAUGAAAGAAUUGGAAAAAAAAAUCUAAAAACCGGAAACAAAUGUAGAAAAAUAUAUUAUUUAGGGGCAGUCAUCAGUCAGCUGGAAACAUUCUGGAAACCCUUCUUUUCUCCCAGAAGCCUUUGCAGAGUCUCUGUUCAGUAGAAUGGACCUGCUGGGCUCUCUGGUCGAGAUAAAGAGGCAGAAAUAGCCUUGGAGAGGGCUUUCUGAAGGCUGUCUCAGUGGAGACUUUUAGUACUAAAUUGUUCUCCUGAGUUGGUGAGAUCUGUUGGCCCCUUCUGAUAUCUUUGGGUAAUGCACCUUGUAACAGAAACCCAGGAAGCAUCUCCAGGAUGGUCUCUUUUGUCAGCCUUUGUCUUCUAACAAUAUUAAAGCUGUUUUUUUUUUUCUGAAAUAUACAUUGCUUAUAAGGAUACAGAAAUAGCAAUGUAAUUACAUGCUUUCGGUUUAUAGACAUUCAGCUCAGCUCAGCUCCGGGAUGCUGGGGUAAUGGGGUGGUAUAUUAAACCAAUCGAUCUGGGGACUGUUCAUCUGGUGUUCACGUUGCCACCAACAGCAUAUGCUAAUUACUCCUUUUUUUGUCGAAUUAUUAGAGGCAACGGAUACAGUUCUUUAGCACUCUUUUCAAAGCUCAUUUGUAUAUUUUUACAUUCACUUCUUUCAAUAGCUGCAUGAAGUAAGCGAGCCAGUGAAAUAGACUUGAAAGCUCAAAACUGUGUACAACAAAAUGUUAUCUUUCCAGGAUGAUUCUGGGAUUUGGCAUAGCUUUGGGGUAUCAUCUGGAAAUGUCAGUUGUCAGUAAUGAAAGUGUGAGCCCUGGAUGGUGCCUAUUGUUGGCUUUUUUGGAAAUCUUUAUAUAUAUAUAUCCAGCAAGUGGCCUUUUUAGAAUACUUUCAUAGCUUCUGCGUUUGAUCUUUGCCAUCUUACAGAGCAUUACUGUCCGGUUAUUUGAAGUUUCUGAUUGUGUUUCACUGGGAACAUCAGCAUGGCUUUUGUAAAACUCAGCAGUGGCUCUCAUAGUUUUCAGGUUCUGAGAAGUGUUUUCCUAUAGAAGCAAGGUUCAAUUUGACAGCUGAAUGUCUUUUGUUUGUUGUUGCUGCUGCUGCUGUUGCUGCUGAGUCCUGGGUGUGACUGGAAUCACUGAGAUGGUGGCUUUUAGGUUCCUGACCCAAAUUGGAAAGAGAUUACAAGUCGCUGGUGACAGGCAGGGUUUUGUCUGUUAUUGACUGGGUCACAGUAGAGUGACCAGAUGCUGAAGAGACAACCAUUUUAGAAAUAUGUUUUUAAGGGAUAGGGAUAGCCCGGUCUCCACAUUCAUCAGAGACUCCUGGCAAUCUAUCUUCUGAUCAGCUCCCAGGAGCCAAGGGGUCAGGGCUGCUCCAAUCAGGAAGGCUUGGGUUUCAGUCUGACUUAGAGAACAAGUGAAACUGAAAACUGCUGACAGCAAAAAAUACCCUGCCAAGGGAGACCCCUGAAUUUAUGAUUCCCAGUGCAUAAAAAUAAACACAGCACUUGCCUCCCCCCCCCCCCUGCCCAGAAUGAAAUUGAAGGGAGGAGGGGGAUGGGCUCAUAGAGUAGGCUUAUUACAGGGUGAGUGGAGGGCACGGGAGAUGGGGGUCUAGAAGGGCCUGCAUAUUGCAUGCCUCAGGCUCCACUGGAGUUCAUUUCCCAUUCUCAAGAAUAAAUUGUCUUCCUUGGGUAAAAUGGACAUGAGUGGAGCUAUAUGAUAAAGCCAGUCCUUGUUUACCAAGGCAAUCUCUUGUGGGCAGUUGAAAGCUUAAUUCUCCAGAAAUAAUUUCUAAAUCCAAAUGAGACUUGCAAAGUAGAAAUGGCAGCUCAUUACAAACCAAAUGGUGGGUCUGAGCACCUUGUUUUCCCCUCCCAUUGGAGGGUGAGGUGCCCUCUCCUUUGGCUUCGCACUUAGUGAUAUGUCAGACCUGGCAGAGAUGAGACCCUGGCCACACAAGCAAGCAGUACUCCAGCAGUGCUCUGGGUCAGUAUGCCUUAGAGCCUCCAGUUUCAGAUAUGCUUGGCUUCUUCACUGUUCAAGGCUCAGCACAGGCUAAUUUCUUGACAAUUCCCUAUGCGGGUCCCCCUCCCCCAGGCUGUAUCAGUGUAAAGACGUCUGAGUUUCCUCCCUUUAAAGGCAAACUAAAUUGGUUUCUGGAGUGAAUUGUUUCUCUCCCUGGAUUGCCUCGCCUCUUGGAAUGAAUCGAAUCGCCAUUUCAAUCAACUGCUAUCGUUAUUUUAAUCGAAUGAAACAUAGAGAACCUGAAAUCUUCUAGCCUUCGUAGACAAGCAGAUGCAGUGACUGUCUGCUGAACUGUCAUCUGGAGUUCUCAGUGAUGCCGCCAGCUGCCUUGGAUUAUAGACUCAUUGAGCAAGGACUGGCCUUUGAAAAGAGAAGGGAAUGAACUCUACUUGGGCAGCUGGACUUGAUCUGUGUCAAGCCCUGUCCUCUCUAGGAUGGAUGGUGGCAAAGAUCUUACAGGAAGUCCUCAGGGACAAAGAUGUAGAUAUUGUCUCUGUGCAUCAUGUAUAUUAAAGGAUUCAUUUAAAUGGCUGGCUGGACUUUCUUUUGUUCCAUUGGUCAGGAUGGCCAUCUGUCGUUCACUGUCCCUAAUCUGGCAUGAGACUUUGAAUCCCGAGCUCCUGUUCCUGGUCCCUGGCCUCUGCUUUCUCCCAGGAUCACAGAACUGGAGCCAGAGUCAGAACCUCUGUCUGUCUUGGCUUAGCUUUAUGUGUAGCCUUGAAAGUGACAUGCUGGACACUACAGACCAAGUGUGUUCUUAUUUCGAAUCUCAGAGGAUUUUGAAAAUGUUCGAAUUAUUUGCCUCCUUGCAAAGCAAUUCCCAGGGCUGAAUUUUUCUUUUAUUUUUCUUUUGUUUUAUUUUAUGUGUCUGGGUGUUUUGCCUGCAGUUAUAUCUGUGUGUUACAAGCACGCGUGGCACCCUUGGAGGCCAGAAGAAGGUGUCAGAAGCCCUGCAAUUGUAGUUACAGGUGGUUGUGAGUGUCCAUGUGGGUGCUUGGAAUCGAACCUGGGUCUUCUGGAGGGGCAGCUAGCAAUGGUUGAACCACUUGCAGUCCCAAAUUCCUGACUUUCGCUUCCCUAGCAAAUUGGAUUUUAAGGCAAACUUUUCUGCCUUGAUACAUUUAUCGUGUGAUAACAAGUCAGUAGAACUAACUUUUCUGACAAUUCAUUUAUCAUGUGACUACAACCCAGUGUCUUGUGUGUGGGCACAUGUAGGUAUGCAUCCAUACAUGUAUGAGUGUGUACUUGUAUGUGGGCACGUGUAGGUAUGCAUUCACACGUGUAUGAGUGUGUACUUGUGUGUGGGCACGUGUAGGUAUGCAUUCACACGUGUAUGAGUGUGUACUUGUGUGUGGGCAUGUGUAGGUAUGCAUUCACACAUGUAUGAAUGUGGGCAUGUGUAGGUAUGCAUUCACACAUGUAUGAAUGUGUACUUGUGUGUGGGCAUGUGUAGGUAUGCAUUCACAUGUGUAUGAGUGUGUACUUGUGUGUGGGCAUGUGUAGGUAUGCAUUCACACAUGUAUGUGUGUGGGCAUGUAUAGGUAUGCAUUCACACAUGUAUGAAUGUGUACUUGUGUGUGGGCAUGUGUAGGUAUGCAUUCACACAUGUAUGAAUGUGUACUUGUGUGUGGGCAUGUGUAGGUAUGCAUUCACAUGUGUAUGAGUGUGUACUUGUGUGUGGGCAUGUGUAGGUAUGCAUUCACACAUGUAUGAAUGUGGGCAUGUGUAGGUAUGCAUUCACACAUGUAUGAAUGUGUACUUGUGUGUGGGCAUGUGUAGGUAUGCAUUCACACGUGUAUGUGUGUGGGCAUGUGUAGGUAUGCAUUCACACAUGUAUGUGUGUGGGCAUGUGUAGGUAUGCAUUCACACAUGUAUGAGUGCGUAUUUGGUGCUACAGAUUUCACCCGACGGGCAGGGAUUUUACCUUUGAGCUAUAUCUCAUUCUUUUCAUGUCUGCUCCACCUCACCCCACCCCGUGCCCCAGAGUUCAGACAAGAUUUCUGUAAGGUGUUCAGGCUGGCCUAGAACUCGCUCUCAGCCCAGGCAUGCCUUGGACUUGCUAUCCCUCCUGUCUUAGCUUCUUAAGAAGCUGGGAUUACAGGCCUGUGCCAUUCACCAGGCCCAACAGCUUUACCAACUUUAAAAGUACUUUGCAGCCACAAAGUAACUUAAUUCUUUUAGUAUAUGAUAUAGCAUUGCUAUUAGUCCUGUUUUUCUAGAAAUAGCAACUGUGGCAUAAAAUAAUUUAGCAACUGGCCCCAAAUGUCUUAGAUCUUAAAUUCAGGGGUCGUGGAGCCACGCCCUUAGCUAGUGGGCCAUGCUCCUUUGUCUCUGUGGCACCGGUGAGCUGGAGAUGAGGACUGGCAGAACCCUGAGACAGAACAUGUGCAUUCAUGUUGGGCACAGUUGUUGGGAGGCCAUGGCACUCAUAACCUAUAAACACCCCCUUACCCCAACCUCUGGGGCAGCAACCGAGAGUGCAAGCUUGCUACUGCAUUGUUACUAUAGUCUACUGCUUAAGUGCUUCUACCGUUCGAGCUUGCAAGACUUUGUCAGCAUGUUAUGUAGUUCGAGAAACUUUAAAUAAUGUAUUUAUUCUUAUUUAAUGUAUAAAAUUCCUGCCUGUGUACAUGUGUGUGUCACACAUGUGCUUGGUGCUCACAGAAGUCAGAAGAGGUCUUUUGUCCCCCUGCAACUGGAACUGGAGAUGAUGUGUGUGAUCAUGCAAAUGCAGGCUACAGAGCUCAGGUUCACUGUGAGAGCAGAAACUUCUAAGCCAGUGGUUCUCAACCCCAUAGGUCACAACCCAUUUGGUGAACCUUUAUCUCCAAAAACAUACUUACAUUAUGAUUUAGGACAGUAGCACAAGUACAGUUAUGAAGUUGCAACAAAAACAAUUUUAUAGUUGAGGGCCACCGUAACAUAAAGGAACAGCAUUAGAAAGAUUGAGGACCACUGAGCCAUCUCUGCAGCCCCCGUUUUUCUUUUUAACCCAUAACCACUCCUUCCCCUAACCACUUCUUUUUUCCUUUAACUUUGCCCCCAGUUGCACUUAAUAGGGCUCCUCCAUAAUUAUUGAUUUCUACAAAGCUAAUGGCUUUGCCUCAUCACUACACAGUGACUUAGAGCAGCCCUGGGAAGACCACAUGGGCUGAUUGCUGAGCUAUGCUUCUGUGCUUCUUUGUGGCAAAUGUAGCUGAGCCUUCAGCAGUCAUCAGUUGUGGUGAACUCAGGGCAGUGACUUGCUAUAGUGCAGACAGUGAUGACCUCAGGACACCUUCUGAAUUGGCGAGAUCUGGAUCUGUGUGCUGUAGUUUUAAGAUUUGUUUCCAUUUGUCUAUUUUUGUGUGUGUUUGGGUAUCUUCCCAUGCUGAAGAGGGCUCUGGGUUCCCUGGAGAUGGAGUUACAAUCUGUUAUAACUAGGUACUAGGAUCUGAAUUCUGGUCCUUGGAAAGAACAAGUGCUGUACUCACAAUGCCAUCCCUCUAGCCUCCUGUUUUCUGAUCACCCAACAGGGAACAGUAAAUGUCCAUGGAAAUGUAACUCCCUUAGGAAGCCCUUCCAUCCUUAGGAAAUCCCAGGUCACACAGCACAACACAACACAGCACAGCACAGCACAGCACAGCACAGCACAGCACAGCACAGCACAGCAUCCCAUUCGCUUUUAGUUAAACAGAGUUUCUCCACCACACACACACACACACACACACACACACACACACACACACACACACACAGUCUGAUAGUAAUGGGAUAAUUGUCAUAUACUGAAGUGUUGGAAGAUGUCAACCUCACAUGACUGCAUGUCUAUGACUUAACUUAAUCUUUGGAAAGUUCAUAAUAUUAUGCUCAUUUUAUAUAUAGAGAGAGACACUGAAACUUAGAAGUUUUGAUUAAAUGCUGUUACUGGGUUCCUAGCCCCUGCCCCUCCUCCCCUUGUCAUCUAACUGUAGAAGUUUCUAUAUUUUACAAUUAUGCUAUAUUUCCUUCAACUUUAAUAAGCCUUCCUUCCUUUUCUUUUUUCAUUUCUGUGAGUGCCCGUCCCUGGUCAUUUUGAUAAGAGAAAGCAAGGGCCCCUGGAGAAACAGGCUUAUGACAAAUGUCACAGGCUAUGCCCAAGAAGGAAAGAAAUUAGCUUAUCUUCAAAUGAGGAUGCUUCAGAGAAAAUGGCACUGUAAAACAACGUCAGAGGAAGUUUAGGUAAUGGCAAGCUAUUGUCAUGUCCCAGUUUGUAGACAUCAAACCGGAGGAAUUUGAAACAGGAGUAGCCGUGCUGAGGGGAGAUAAGGAAGAAGGACACAUGAAGGAAGGGCAGCAUCCCCUAUUAAGUACCAGGGGAAGUCAGCCUUCUAAACCUUAGUGAUCGUUUGUUUGCUUGUUUUUAUCUCAGUCUUCACUUAAAUGGCCAGUUGGGAUUUGAUGGCCAGAUUAUAUAGAAAAGCGGGUGGGAGCCAUUCUAAAUGAAGUGCUUGCUUAGGGCUGAAAUGGAUGGGUAUCAGUUGACAGCAUACAGUUCAGAUGGUCCAUAGUGACGGACGGCUCUGGCGAAGGCUGCAGCUCUAGUUUAUAUUUAUAUGCAACAUGGGUUCUAGAAAACAAAUGUCAAGCAUAAACAUUGGACCAACUUCUAAGAAUGGAUUUGAGAGUGAUGGAAUUAUAGACCGGAUCUAAUUCCCAGUGUUUUCUUGGAAUUCAAAGUCAUCCAUUAGCCAACAUUUUUUAAACCAUUGUGGAGUCAUAAAACUGAGCUAACCAUCGAUUUUAAGAUCAUGACCAUAAUAAGCAUUUCAGAUGAGGCCGGGUGUGUUCAGGGUGUUAUGCUCAUAGAUCAAAUGCAAACAUUUCAAAUAGAGGACUGAUCACUGCUGGAGUUUACCUGAACUAAACCAUAAGUUUGGAUUUUUCCCCACAGGCCAUGACGUGUUUGGUUAAGAACUUUGGUGCUGGUGGGGUGCGGGGAGUUUAUUCUGAGCUGGAGGCAGACUUGUGUGAGGCUUAUUGGAAGUCUGUGGGGUUGAAGUAAAGGAAGCGUGAAUGGACAGAGGGAGUGGGGAAACUCAGCCAAGACCUCAACCCACCUCAGGAUGAGCUGGGGUGAGGAAGGCACUUCCAGGUGCCCCCUGACUGAGGAAAGAUAAACCUUUGUGUUUUCUAUUCCUGCAUUAACCAGCCAUUCAUCUGAGACAGGGACACAGUUCUAGAUGGAUAAAAUGCAACGUUUCAGAAGAAGACAUAUCCAAGAGCUGUUAGUUUGGUUCUCCUAACAUGGAAGCUAGUGAAUCCUUCUUUUCUGAAGUUGAAGGCCUGGGCAUCUGGAUAAUGAGCCUCAGUGGCCAUUUUCUUCCUCAUGCAAGUGUUUGAGAAACAGCCAUAUGACCAUCACAGCUGCUUUCAGCCUGGGUAUUGAGAUGGACGACAGCCUCCCCAAUGCUGUCCUCUGUAGCAAAAGGGUGUGCUAUGCCAGUUAUUGCAUAUAGAAUUCCCAGAACUUCAGACACACAAGGUGAAUACAUUUAAAGGUGUGUGUGUGUGUGUGUGUGUGUGUGUGUGUGUGAGAGAGAGAGAGAGAGAGAGGGGGGGGGGGGAGAGAGAGAGAGAGAGAGAGAGAGAGAGAGCAUAUGUGAGUGUUUCAUGGGUGUGCUGCUCCGAAGUUGAUGUUGGGUGUGUUUCAUGAUUGCUCUCCACCUUAUAUAUUAAAACAGGGUCUUUUCACCUGAACCCAGAACUCACAUCUUUGACCAGUUGAUUCCAAGGAUCCCCUGGCUAAGCCCACUGAGUGUUGGGUUCACAAAUAGCUGUCACACCUGAUCUGCUCUCCAUUUAUAUGUGUGCUGGGAGUCCAGACUCCUGUCCCCAUGCUUGUAUGGCAAGCAUUUCAUCUGCUAUGCUCCCUUGCUCAAGUUCCCAGAUCACAUCACAGGGACCACAGCUAAUAGCACUGUAUUGUAUAUUUAAAAAUUGCUGGGACUAUAGUCUAAGUGUUGUUACUACAAAACAAGCAAGCAAAAACAUGAAAGUUAAUAGAUGAGCUAAUUAACUCUGGUUACAUUUGUCUGUCUCCUGUCUGGUGUGGUGAGUUUAAUGAGGUGAGCCAGAAACAAUGCAUCGUGAGGCCAGAGUAUAACUGCUAUUGAUACUUGCAAGGCUUGACAGCAGCCGUUUCUCUAUUCCUACUGAUGUUGUCCCUUGAUCCUUUAUCUGGGGAAAGUGAGCAAUAAACCGGAUGAGCCCUCUCUGGAGCGUCUGCUGUGCUCUGGUGACCUAGGUCGGGCACUUUAUCAGCAUCUGCAAAGCCCCCUUGUGAAUCGUUACCUCUGCUCCACUGGUGGAGAGGAAGAUGUGUUCCGAGAUGGAAGGACGUCCACUUUUGUACACAGUUCAAGUUCUUGAGAUGACACCUCGGUGGGUGUCACUUAGUUUUCUCGUGUCCCUCAGCUCUGUUCUGAGUCCAUGACACUAGUGGUCACCAUGCUUGUGGUUUUAGCAGUACAGCUCAGUUCAAGGGGCUCAACUGCAGGGUAACAGAAAGUAAAGCAAGCUAGCCUUCUUUAACACCUACUAUUUGUCAUGGAAGACAGUAUAAUGCCUGUUUCCAGUAUUUGGGUAAAGAGGUCAUGGGUUAGAUUUAAUAUACAUGGGUUAGAUUUAAAUAUAAUUUAGUAUAUUUUGAUUAUAGAAAUAAAAUGUAGAUCUGAAGGACUUGGUAGCCACUGUCAAACAUUGUUUUUAACAAAUAUUUUACCAUUCCCUCCCCAUAAGACAAAAUAUGAGUAUUCUUAAAAACAAACAUAUUUUACAGAAGGGCAUAAAGGCAAAGCAUACCUCCUUCUUUGAUUCUGUCCCCUUGAAACCCUCUUUGUGUUUGAAAUCUUAAUCUUAAUAUGCAAAUUGGGCUAUUCUAUAGUCUUUUGUAGUUUAUUGUUUAUUUACCCCAAUACUUCAAGUGUCUAAGUUUGUGCUAUGUAUGUAUAUAUCGGCUUACUUAUGUAUAAUAUAUACUACAUAUAAAACAUGUAUUUCAAUUCCUAAUAAUAAAUCACAGUAUGUUAUCUAGUAAUCAGUUUAGCCAGCCGUUUUUAGACAUGCAGGUUAUUGCCGAGUCUCUAUUUAUUAUAAUAAUGUUGGUGGGAUCUGAGUGAACGGAAGCAUGUGGCAGGGUCACUGAGACCAGUGAGAAGACAAGAGCGAUAACUUGGGUGGACACACUGAGAAGAUCUCGGGAAGAAUCAGGACACGAGGUGAACGGUCUAGGGUUGCUAGGAGUACUCGAUGACCAAGUGUCUGUGGACGCAAACAGAGCAGAAAGGCAGCUCUCGUGUUUCUGGGUUAAGCAAACAUGGGAAAGGGCAACUGCAGAGAAGAAAUUCAGGGGAGGAAUGACCCCUUAAAGGAAGAAGAUAAAGAAUUUAUCUCAUUGCUAGGCUAAAAUGUGGGACACCAGGCAGAGAUGCUCACGUGAGCAUCCGAGUCUUUAUGGAGUGAAACUGUAAUGGUGGAGGUAACAAACUCAUUCUCACUGGCCAUGAAACAAGGAAAGAAUGGGGCCAAGGAAGGAUCCCAGGGAGUGGUCAUGUCUGCAGAGGUGGCAGAUGAAUAUAAUUAAAAUGGUGACAUGCAGAGAAGUAAGGAAAGGGAUCAGAAGGGACCGGGUGUCCCAGAGUGGCUGACAGUGUUGCCUGUUAGAGACAUACUGAAAUGCAAAUUCUGCCAAGUGGUCAUUAGAUGAAUCAGUCUUGAGACUACCAUGGCCAGACCAGAACCACUGAAGUGAUGCUGCUGGUGUUGUGAGUAGGUAGAGCAAAAAUGAAUGAAAGGGGUUUUUUUUCUUAGGGUUUGUUUUUAUUUAUGUGCAUAUAUGUGUUCUGGGGGUAUGCACAAGUGUGUUCAGGUGCCCCCAGAAGAGGUCAUUGGGUCCUCUGGAGCUCAAGUUACAUGUGGUUGUGCGCUGCCAGACACUGGGUGCUGGGCACUGAACUUGGGGCCUCUGCAAGUUCAUCCAAUGCUCUUAACCCAUCCCUCCACCUUGAAGUUAUUAUUACUAUCAUUAUUUUGAGCAGCAAUCAGGAAGAGGUGUGAGUAGGGAAUUUGAUACAUGAAGCACCUUAGAUUCUUUGAGCUUGAGUGUGUGUGAGUUCAGCAUGUUGAUAUGCUGAGGGAAAUGCUGGGUCAGUGAAGGCAUUCAGAUUAACUCUCAUGGAAGAUUAUGUUGAAGCAAAGAAUUAGAACCUAAAUCAGUUCUUUGCUUGCUUUGGGCUUUCUGUAGGGGAGAGAAGAGUGCCUUGCAUCUUAGUCAGGGCAGCUAUUGCUGUGACAAAACACCAUGACCAAAACCAAGUUGGGGAGGAAAGGGUUUAUUUGGCUUACACUUCCAUAUCACUGUUAGUCACCAAAGGAAGUUAGGAUAGGAACUUAGACAAAGCAGGAACCUGGAAGCAAGAGCUGAUGCAGAGGGCAUGAAGGAGCCCUGCUUACUGGCUUACUCCUGGUAGCUUAGUCAGCUUGCUUUCUGAUAUAACCCAGGACCACCAGCCCAGGGAUGUCACCACCCAUAUUGGGCUGGGACUUCCUCCAUUCAUCACUUAUUAAGACAGUGACUUAUUGAGUGAUCUUAUGGAGGCAUUUUCUCAAUUGAGGUUCCCUCUUUUCAGAUAACUCAAGCUUGUGUCAAGUUGGCAUAAGACUAGCCAGUACACAUAGGAAGAUGGCUCACAGUGGAGAAGAAGGGAAACACGACCUGCCUAAGUGGCCAAAUUCAUGUAGUCAAUCAAUCAUCUGAAGAUGGAGCCGGUUUAUCCUGCCUCUGUAGCAUCAUUGUCAGAAGGCUGAAUAUGAUAUCCUUAUUGGCCAGUGGUUGACAUUUUCUUCUAUCCUCUCCCUUAUAAGUCUUCACAUAUCUCCUUAGCUGGAAUUGUCCUUUUUCUCCCUUUAGACCCAGGUCAUUAUGUAACAUCUGUGUAGAAGACGUUCUUGGACUUAGUGGUGUGUUUGUCUGUCUAUGUGUGUGUGUGUGUGUGUGUGUGUGUGUGAGAGAGAGAGAGAGAGAGAGAGAGAGAGAGAGAGAGAGAGGGAGAAAGAGAGAGAGAGAGAGGGUGUGUGUGUGUGUGUGUGUGUGUGUGUGUGGUAUAUGCACAUGUGAAUACUCGCAUCCAUUUAUGUGCAUGUGGAGACCGGAGGUUAACAGCAGACAUCUUCCUCUACUACUACUCUCGACUUUAGUUUUUGAGGCAGAGUCUCUCAACUGAACCCGGAACUCACCAAUUAGCUAGAUUGCUUGAUCCGCAAGUCUCAGGAUCCUCCUGUCUCUUCCCUUCUGUGCAUCUGAGUGCCAGAGUACUAAGUGCUGGUUGGGUCUUUAUGUGGGUGCUGGGGCUCUGUGCUCUGGUCUUCAUGCUUCUAUAACAAGAUGUUUAACCACUGAGCUAUCUCCCCACCUCCUGGCUGCAAUCUAUUUCUGUUGCCUUUUGGGCUCUAAAUUCUCUUUGGAUUCUUUCUGGAACAUUUCCAUAUCACUGUUCCCUUGAAACCUUCUGAAGAAUGACUCAGGUCUUUUUCUAACCCUAGACUAACAGAUUACAUGACCUUGUUGGUGUUCCUAUUUGCUUAACACAUAGGUACAUGGGGAUGAAUGUACCACAGUGGAACUGUUGAUAUUUUUCCCUGUAGAUUCACCCCUACUUCCUUUCAAGCUCCACGCUCCCCCACUCCCCACCCCCAUCUCAGCCAACAGUGCUGCCAUAGUACUGAAGUCAGAAAUAAAGCUUUGUCCCUGAACUUUUCUCUCCUCUCAGCUCUGAUCUGCCAGCUUACCAGGUAAGCCCCUCUCUCCAAAUGGUUCCUUAAGCCUUGCCCAUUCUCUGCAUUGCCACAGGUAUGGCUUUAGCCCAGGCAGCAGCUGUUGCUUUCUUGGAGACUGCAUAGCUUCCAACCUUUCAGAUUUUCCCAAGCCAUGCCUGCAUCUUGCUUACCCAUUUUCCUUCUAAGACCAUUUAUUUCCAUUGUUCUCCUACCAUCGACAGCUAGUUAGUGCCUUCUAGAGCAUUCUCUGAUGAUCAGCUUCAAUGCCACUCCCUAGAAGGGGCUUUCUGGUCUCCCUUUCUCAAUUCUACCCCAGUCUUCUUAUUUUCUUCCUUCGUGGCAGCAAUUACAGCUUUCAAAUAUCUUGAUUAUUUAUUCUCUUCUUUCUAUGGCUCUCACGGGUGGUAAGAAUAUUUGAGGACUAGUUGAUUUUUGCAAAGUCCUCUGUUAGGAUUAACACGGUGCACUUAACAUUCACCCAUAACUGAAUAGAUGGUCCUAUCCGUGUGAGGGAAGCCGGGGUAGAUUCUUAAGAGGGUGACUACUGCGAUGGGCUUCUUCCUGGGGGGCUGUUCUGAUGUGCUUUGUUCAGGCCUCUCUCAGCACAUCAUUAGAUCAGAUAGUGCUAAGUGUUUUCUAGUCUGCCUGCUUACUGUCUUUCAGAUCUCUCCGAGGAUCGGGACUAGCUUAAUUUAUUUUCACUUCCUCUUAUUAUCUCCAUCCCAGGGAAUGCUGGUGUAAUUGAAUUGUCUACUUUGGGAAAGAAACUCAGAAGGGCGUGGAGUGGGGGAGAAGAAAUAGGCUUAAGCCAGUGAAAAGGCCAGGAUUGGGAAAAUGUGUCUUUUUGCUCCUUAGGAGGUGAUCAUCUUCAUAUGGUGCUGGUGGUCAAUGAUAUAUCCCUGCCCAGCAGUCAAUAACCAGCCUUCUUAUUGCUAAGAGUUAGCAGGGUUCAAGUAGGUUACAAAGCCACCCUUUGGGCAACAGCUCAUCUCCUGAAGCCAAAAAUAGAUUUGCCAUGUUCACCUGUGUCCCUGCUCUACUGCCUGGGAAAGACUACAAAUUCCUCUCUCUGCACUUCUUUCAGAACACAGUGGAUUCUGGUCAGAUGAACAUCACUGAGCCCUCGCCUUUCCUGAGACUGUCUGUCUCCCUUCAGAACUGUGUCUUUUCUUUUUCCUUGUUCUUUGCAAAGGGAAGCAAGAAGCUGGAAUGAAUUAGGCAUUCAGAUACAAAGAAGGGCUCUGAGUCAAAGUUGGUAUUUAAAUUGCAUCAGUGAAUAAAACCUGGGGCUUGACAGUUUAACUGCUUAUAAAACUGAUUUAGAAGAAGAACAGUUACCAGAAGCUGCCGGUUCUGUGGCUAAAUUGUUGCUUUUGAUUACUACAGAGCUUCUUAGAACAUUUAAUCAUUCCCAGUGGAGUCCCCUUACUGUGACUUCCUGCAGGUAGAGAAAUGACAUCUUUAAGUAUGUGUGUUUGCUGCUAAUCCAAAGGAGAAUGCUUUACACACACACACACACACACACACACACACACACACACACACAUUUCCCCUCUGACAUGGACUUCUUUACUUUCCUGGUGCUUGGCUGUGUUUGGGGGUAUUUGUUUCGUUCUCUUGGGAUAAGAGGGUGAAAACCAUUCCAGGAACCGUCGGCAGGACAAACAGCCAGCAUCUGAGCCUCCUAGGGAAGUCCUUAGCUGCGGCUUCCCUCAUGGCUAGUAGGGUGCACGAAUACUAAAAGCCUGCCAGAUUCAAAUCCAAGUCUGCAGGUUCUGAAAUGAAAAUAAAAUCAAAGUAUAAAUUCUACAUUUUGUAGUUUCCUCUGACACAGAGGCCAUUGUAAGUCCCGAGAACCAGGCAUGCACCCACGUACUAUCUUCCUCCUUCGGGAGACUCAUCAUGCAUUUCUAGUCAAACCACUGUCCAGGCCAUCCACCAAACCACUGUCCAGGCCAUCCACCAUUGUUUGACAAACAGGCCCAACCAUUUCUCCCAGCAGGGGGCGCUGUGGGGCUGAUGACCACAGGCCGGGCAAUGGGAUUUUCCUGCCACUCUAAAGCAAGAGCCAGAGGGUGAAUGGCUCUUUCCCAGUCCAGCACCAGCUGACCCCUGGAUUUUAAAGAAGGAAAGGCCUGAUACUUUGAUUUUCAAACAUUCCAAGUUACCCUGAGUUGUCAAAUCAGCCAGAGAUCCAGAGUUCUUCGGGGACUACCUUUUGCUGGGAGGAAUUUGGCAGUCUUGGUUCUUGUUACCCAUUUUGGCCCUAGAUCCUCUCUCUCACGUUGUGCUCCUGGAUUCUCCUCAGCCAAGUGCAAGAAGGAGCCUUGAUUCCAGAUUCAGGUACGUGUAAAAUGUUUCUGUCUGGGUUAUUGACAAACUGGUUUAAGGCGAAGGGGCGAUUGUAUGAUAGAUCUGGAGUUGGCUCUAAGGCUGAACGGAAAGGUACUUGAGGAAAUAAAGAGAACAUUUGAAAGCUUGGAGGCGCCCCAGAAUAAAUAGUUCAAGAAUGAAGGCACAAAAACAGAUAUUCUUUUCAAAAUGACUAACUAGGCACCCCAGAGGGCUAACUUGUGUUUCAAGCCAGUUGGCAACAAGAUUAAAGUAGGCAUGGAAACCCUGUUUUAGUUAAAGGAUACUCUCCCUUAGGAGUCAGCGUCCAUAUGUCCUCUAAAGGGCUUUCCCCUCUGCCUGUGGCUAAGCUACGGAGGCAAACCAGUGAGGGGGGUGACUUGCUCACAUUCUGAAAGCAGGAAAGUCACUGUUCUGCCCCCAGAUGUAGUUUUAAUGUCUCACUGGAGGCAUUUUAAGUGAAGGCUUGGGAUCCUUUUGCUACUGGCUCACAGGGUGUUUGUUGAAUGGGUAAAUGAGCGAGAGCCUCCGGAGAGAAAGCUUGUUAGAGGAGUCUUUAUCAUAAGAACUUCAGAUUUCUCCAUCAAGAGCAUCUCAGAUUACUUGGGAACAAACAGAAAGGACCAGAGAAGGAGAGCCAGCCAGCUUCACCGGCAUGUGCUGUAGUGUUUGGCUGGGCCUUUGAAUAACAAGUGGCUCCCAACUUGUUAUUUUGCUCUGUAUCCCACAGUUCAUGGCUCCAUUUCAGGGAGCCUUGCAGGACCAAGCUUAUACGCAGUCCCCCUCAUGGUGACCGUAAACAAGCUAAAAGAUGAGAAGAGACCCCGAGAACGCCUGCUGCUUAACUGUAUGCUAGAGUAGUCGAAGAUGAAAUACUUUGCAUAAAAGAGCUCCUAGGAGCCAGCAUUGCACACAGUUAUGAGGAAGUUUGAAUCCCUACUUAAACCCAAGAAAAACUUCCUGUCUCUUCACUCAUUAGCUUAAGACUUCAGGAAAAUUAAUGAGCCUCUUUAAGGCUGGGUGUCAUUUUUAGUUUUAAGUAGGAGCAAUGCCACCUACUCAGCAGGGUUUGGCAUAGAAGGUAUAUGUGAAGGACUCUAGGCCCAGUGCCCGGGAGGUGGACAUCUCCCAGUAAUGGUAACUGUCAUUGUUCUUGGAACCAUAACUCUCUGGUUACCUGUAGCCUUCUGUGCUUAGCUUGAGCCUUUCACCAGCCUCCUGACUUUCCAGGUUACUUGGUAACAUGUAGUCUGCACCCACACGUAUGUUUGCUAGGUCUUUUCCAUAAAGCUAUUGGCGAUAAGAUUAGAAAGCCGGCCCAGGUGUCUUUGAUGGUGUGAGUGGUGUGUUUGCACCUGCGGCUGCCAGGAUAGUUUCCCCCUCCGCUGUGCUUUCUACUCCUUACUUGUUAGAAUUAUUACACACGGUAUUCCAAAUCUCUGUCUCCUGUGAUGGCUGCCCGGAUUUUGUACCACAGUCUCGGGUAGAGACAUCUACAUAACAUAGUCAGGUGAAGACGUGAAAAGACAAAUCUUCAGGAUAAACAGAGGAAAGAGGUCAGUUUGGAUAGGUCAAAAGCAAGAAGUUGGGCUGAAUAACUGAAGGCACUUGCUGCAUUUUCCCAGGUGAUUUAGGAAGUGUCUGUAGGAAGCCCGAGUCUGUUAAAGGGCGACUGUUGACUUUCUUAGGGAUAAAAGGAGACUAAACUGGUCAGAUGGCAGGAUGAGGGGUAGGAGAAGGAGGGGAGGAAACAUAAGGACACGCUAAAGGCGAAUGUGGGUGGGUCUGCCCUUUCCACACGGUAGGAACAGAUUGCAAGCCAAACAUUUUUAUUUUGGAAGCAACUUCUAGGUUGAUGGAAAUGCACUUGCAUAAAUCAUGUGUCUCCAAGAACAACAAGGUGGCCCAGCUACAGGCAGAUGCUGCCGGCCUAGGGAGAUGCCCCUUCUAGCUAUGAGGUCUCUGGGUGACUCUUCUGAAAGACCCUCUUACACUCCCAGGGCUGAGAGUUGAGUAGAUAAAGCGGCUUCUGCCUCUUGCUGGGUAAGAGAAUACUUUGCUUCAAUGCAGCACUCCUGAGGUGAGAUGGAGCUGGGGAGAUGACUCAGUGGACUGUCUGCCUUGCCCAAGGACCAGCAUCCUGGUCAAGAGCUGGGAGUUGUUGUGUAUCCUUGUAAUCCUGGAGUUAGAGAGGCAGAGACAUGCAGAUCUCUGCUUCAACCAGCUUAACCUAUUUGAUGGGUUCCAGGCCAGUGAGAGACAUACCCUUUUAAUAAUUAAGGUGGAUCGUGUCUAAGGGAUGACACUGGAGGUUGUUCUCUGGCCUGCAUGCACCCACGUACCCACAUACAUACAUGCACACACAGAGGGGAUUAGAUGAUUCACAUCACAUCCCAGAUACAGUCAGACAGUGGGCUGAUUUACUAAUACAAGUUAAACUGGAGAUCUCCAAACACCCAUUGGAACAGCCUUGGUUAGCAGAAUGUGGUGAUGCUGUUGACUAAGAGGUAGGCCUUUGGAAGUGGAAUGCUUGCUGUGGCUGACACUUUGAGUUUAGGUUAUGCUUCCUUGGACCGGCACGUCAUCUUCUAGUGUCAACCUUACCAAAGUGUUCAGUGGGUAUGAAAGUAGGAAGUGGAUGCGAAAUUGACUUAUAUACUGUUAGAGAUAACGCAGUGCUUCUAAUGGUUGUCAACAUGGUACUCAGAAUGUUCCAGAACACUUGGCCUGCCUCUUUGCCAAUCUGAAGUUCCAGGUCAAAAACUAAUGUUUUGAUCCCCAAUCUCCCUGGCUGCUGGACCAAACAGCUUUCACAAUAUGCCUUCUGAGUUCUGAAGACUGGGGAAAAGAAAAAAAUGAGGUUCUUCCAUGUCUGAAUUUAUUUGGGCCACUUUCACAAGUUUCCAUAAACUGAUGGCUAAUGAAUAAUUGAAGUUUUCUGUGCUUCUGGAGGCUGGGAAGUGCAAGGUCAAGGUGGUGGCAGAGUUAGGGUCUGAUAAGGCAGAUGACAUUUUUUACCUGUGUCCUCAGGGAAAUGAGGAUGCUUUUUUUUUUUUUUUUAUAAUUAGGGUGCUGAUCCUACUCCUGAGGGCUUCAUCCUUGUGACUUCAUCACUGCUCAGUGACAAGUGAUAGUACCUAAUACUAUCUCUUUGGAGAUUGGGAUUUCAACAUGUGGACUUUGGAAGGAUGCACACACAGAAUCACAGUAUCGUGGCCAAAGCUUCCAGCAGUGGUUCAGAAAGGCCAUAAGCCUCCCCUCUGUCCGUCUGUGUGAUGGAGCAAUAACUGACCACUUUCUCAGGUCCCUUACCUGGUCAGUUUGUGCUCUUGCUUCUCCUUUCUCGUGAGGGUGAAGCUGGGCCUCUCCCUAGGCUGGAUGUCGGCUCCUUCUGCGCAUCUUGCCCUAGUCACAGAGUGAGAUGGAAGAGUUAGGUUCCCUUUGCUUCCCAGCCUCACACAUACAGGUAUGAUGCCAAUGUACAGAUUCUAUUAAAGACAAAUAAAAUAACAUAAUAAUGGUAACUAUAAACCUAGCUGGUUUCAGUGUUUAAAACAAAACAACUUGGAAGCUUUUUUUUUUAUGGGCGGUCUCCUGAGAGAUAACUCAAUAUGAGUGCCUGGCUUGAGCCCUGUCUUCGUCACAGGUCAGAGGCCUCUCCUCUGGUCUUUCCAAGAGGAGCUGCCAUGACAUGUGACAUGAUCCCAGUGUCCUAACUGCUCAGGAACAGUCCAUACUUGUUCAGAUCGGGUUGCUCUUGAAGUCAGGGCUAAUCGCUGUGCGGGAUGCAGCCAGAGGCACAGGCUGACUUUGCUCCCCGUGAGAGCGUCCCUCUCACUUGCUCUCUGGAACUGUCACUUCCCACAAGAUGCCAGGUUCAGAGGGAAGUGAGUGGUCAUUAGGGGCAGGGUACCCUCUAAGCCCACAAAGGGGAGGAAUACUUUCCACAGACAAUGUAACUUCCAUCUGAGUUACUUGGGCUUCAUAAAGAGUUGCCACGCCUUUGGGCAAAGCCCUUUCCUCCUUUACCAAUGGCUUCUUAUGUAACAAAAUUGAAACACAGUAUUGGGGUUCUCCAAGCCCAGGGACAAAUGGCAGUGGUCACUCCUAAGAGACUGACCCAAUCUCUGGCUUUCAAUUUACUUGGUUUUCCAUCUGCUCUUGGCCAGUGGAUUGACAACCUUGCAGCAUCCAUGGAAUCAAGGGAAGGUAAGACUAUAGGAUGCACUCUUCAGGGACAAGCAGGCAUCUGCCCAUCUGGUCAGUUAUUGCUAGAUCACACAGGCAUUUUAAAUAGGACAAAGUUCACAGUCUUCGAGCUGAAGUUAGGUUUUAUUGUUGUUGUUUUCAACCAGGAGAAUUCAGUUAGCUAUUUGAACUUUCAGGUAUUUGGUGUAUUUUUAAGGUACCUCUGCACAUCUGCAUGUUCAAGUUCAAGCAUUCCUCUCUGCAUAUUCACCAUCCAUAGGAACGAGGGUGUGGAUGCUGAAAGCAAGCAGCCUGUUCCUGUGAUGCCUGCACAGCACACAGAGGCUUCGGAGACCUGAAUGUGACUUUGGUCACUCUAUGUCAGCUGACAUUACAUCAGGGACAGGGUAUCUAUAAAAUGUGUGCUGCAAAUGUCCUAAGAAAGCCAGGACAAUGGGGCUACCUGAGCAGGGGGAAGUAAAAUAGUCUGCCUUUUGAGGAAAAAAGAAAAGGUUGAUCUUGGAAUGGAAGUGACUCUUUUUCAGUGGGUCAAGAAGAAGUAUUGGAAAGAGAGUUAGAAUGAAGCCAAGGGAGGGAACACUCACAGAAGGUUCACGGUCAAGUGAAUGGGAGGGUGCUUGGUCCAUUUCAAGUAACCAGAUGGUCUCCGACUUAAGAUGUCUUGACUUGCGAGUAUUGUCUUCAUGAUGGUAAGAGUACACUCAUGCUGAUUUUGCUAUUCCCUUUUAGUACAGUAGACAAUAAGUUAUAUAAGACAUUCAACACGAUUUUAGAAUAGGCCUUAUUUCGGAUGAGUUCCCCCAAGUGUAGGCCACUGUAAAAGGUCUCAGCACAUUCACAAUAGUCUUGUGUAAGCUGUGAUGUGCAUUUAUCAGGCAUAUUGACUGAAUGGUCAGAUGCCAGUGUUACUUCACUGAGGGCAAACUGGGCAUCAAUCUCACUCUACUUCAAAGGGCAUCUCCAUUUCCCUUUUUGGUUUAUUCCUAAAUUUGGUUAUUUUUCUAGGGAAGAUAAAAAAAUCUAGGAGCAUGUAUUCAGGUUGGAAGGGGAAGUGGUGGGUGACUGUUCUUUUUGUGUGUAAAAUGUCCUUUCACUUGUUGUCUGGAUGUCCUCUGCUCAUUGCCAAAGUCCAGUCUGAUUCAAGGCUUAAUUAUGAACUCAGGUUUGGGAGUUGGCUUCCCUUCCCUGUCUGGAACAGUGAAUCUGUAGAAAGGACUGAGGAGCUGGGCUAUCAGAGUCCUUUAGAUGGGCUGUGCACGCUGGGGACCACAUCUUCAGCCAUCUGCCUUUAAAGUGAUCAGGGAAGGACCCCAAUUAUUAAUUAGCAUUGGAGGGAGAUCAGAAACUGCGGAUGCCUUGCAUGUGGGGGCUGUAAACACAGAGAACCCUCCUGGAGUGUAACAUGCAUCACUCAGGUGGCAAUAAAAUGUGGCACCCGCUAUUCACUUCACAGAUGCUUGCAGAUCGGCUGGCCCUCUGCUAGGUGUUAGAGAUGGGGCUUCUGGAUGACAGUCGGCUACUCACCAUCUGGCAGCCACACAGCGUCACAGCCUGUGUGCCCAGAGAAUGCAGCCUGGGUUUUCUGCUCCAUGACAUGUUACUCUGACCUAAGCCUUAGUGUAAGACAGCUGCCGCCAAUGACAAACCUCAAGAUGUUCGAAUACAGGGCAAGGUACUUCCUGGACACAUGAUUUGGCCUUAUGGAAAUGCAGGCUCCUCAUAUAAGGUUACUAUACAUUAGGAGUAAUGGCGGCUGCCUUGGGGCAUGAAAUACUAGCUACCUGUCAUUUUGACCUGUGCUGGAACACAAAAGUGCUUAGAAAAGGUGGCUGAUUUAACUUAUCGCUUAUUACUGCUUAAACCCAAUGAUGCUUCUAUUGUCCCAAAACACGCACAAUUGAGCCCUCCAGAAGUAAACAGCUUUCAACCCUUGUCAAUGAUAUAUUUAUUACCCUCUCCCUCCAAGCAAAUAUGUGUGCACCUCACUGAUUCUGAAUCUUCUCGAGAAGGAGGUUCUGCAGACGCCAAGGCUGUCCCGACACUGAAGGGACCAGGGGAGCCCCUCAGUAGGCUUUCCCAAGACCCUCUGCUCUCUUGGGGAAAAAGUGAGUGUGAGAACAUUGGGCCCUUUCUGUGAGCCGCCAAAGGACAGGACAUGGGCUUUUCAGAUGUCGUAUCUGGCAAGAAGAAAUAUGAACAACAAACUCAAGAAGGCUUUAACUGCUCCUUGGCACUGGGAACCUAGUUUGUUCCACGGGGCUGCCCACAGGGCCUGCUCUCCUGAGAUGCGCAGAAUCCUGCUUCUUCUGCCUGUGCCUGGGACUUCCACUGCCCUGACACCGGGGGGCGCUGCAGACUCUCUUUUGCUCAGAGCUGGCUAGCUAACCUCUGCAACUGACCCUCAACCCAUCACAGUUUUACUUUUAUACUAGCCUGAAGUCAUGUCAUGUGUCUUCCUAUAGAAGUCAGUGGGAGCCUGGCAAUGGACUCAACACCUCCCCCUACCCCCAGACUCUCUUCACAGAGCUCUUUCCAACCAGGAACAGAAAAAUUAUACAAGCAAAUGACUUUUCACAAUA